rnacentral:rRNA from 1 species
CGUGUAGGCGGUACGUUAAGUCGAGUGUGAAAGCCCUGGGCUCAACCCAGGACGUGCGCUCGAUACUGGCGAACUAGAGUACGGGAGGGGGUAGCGGAAUUCCCGGUGUAGAGGUGAAAUUCGUAGAUAUCGGGAGGAACACCAGUGGCGAAGGCGGCUACCUGGACCGAUACUGACGCUGAGACGCGAAAGCGUGGGUAGCAAACAGGAUUAGAUACCCUGGUAGUCC